GCGGACUCGCGGGGUCCGCCUCGCGGCGAGUACUUCGCGGGUCCGCGUUCCCUGGCGGUGAGUCCGGAUGUCGUUCGUUCGGCGUCCGGAUGAACCGCCUCCGUUACCUUGAGAAAAUUAGAGUGUUCAAAGCAGGCGUGACGCCCGAAUACGUUAGCAUGGAAUAACGAAAUAGGACGCGCGGUUCUAUUUUGUUGGUUUCUAGAGUCGCCGUA
rnacentral:rRNA from 1 species